GGCUCAGAACGAACGCUGGCGGCGUGCCUAACACAUGCAAGUCGAACGAGAAAGUUUCUUCGGAAACGAGUAAAGUGGCGCACGGGUGAGUAACACGUGAAUAAUCUGCCUUCGAGACUGGGAUAACUUGACGAAAGUUAAGCUAAUACCAGAUAAGACCACGCUUCACAAGGAGUGCGGGAAAAGGGAUCUCAAAUCCUGCUCGUAGAUGAGUUCGCGUACCAUUAGCUUGUUGGUGAGAUAAAAGCUCACCAAGGCGACGAUGGUUAGCCGGCCUGAGAGGGUGAUCGGCCACACUGGAACUGAGACACGGUCCAGACUCCUACGGGAGGCAGCAGUGGGGAAUCUUGCGCAAUGGGCGAAAGCCUGACGCAGCAACGCCGCGUGAGCGAUGAAGGCCUUCGGGUCGUAAAGCUCUGUCAAGUGGGAAGAACACAAUGACGGUACCACUAGAGGAAGCCCCGGCUAACUUCGUGCCAGCAGCCGCGGUAAUACGAAGGGGGCAAGCGUUGUUCGGAAUUAUUGGGCGUAAAGCGUAUGUAGGUGGUUUAUCAAGUCAGACGUGCAAGCCCUCGGCUCAACCGAGGAAUUGCGUUUGAAACUGAUAGACUUGAGUGUAGGAGAGGAAAGCGGAAUUCCCAGUGUAGCGGUGAAAUGCGUUGAUAUUGGGAAGAACACCGGUGGCGAACGCGGCUUUCUGGCCUGCUACUGACACUGAGAUACGAAAGCCAGGGGAGCAAAGGGGAUUAGAUACCCCCGUAGU
rnacentral:rRNA from 1 species